UGGGGAAUAUUGGACAAUGGGCGCAAGCCUGAUCCAGCCAUGCCGCGUGGGUGCAGAAGGCCUUCGGGUUGUAAAGCCCUUUUGUCCGGAAAGAAAUCCUGUCGGUUAAUACCCGGCGGGGAUGACGGUACCAUUUAUAAGCUCCGGCUAACUAAGUGCCAGCAGCCGCGGUAAUACGUAGGGAGCAAGCGUUGUUCGGAUUUACUGGGCGUAAAGGGCGCGUAGGCGGCGCGGUAAGUCACUUGUGAAAUCUCUGAGCUUAACUCAGAACGGCCAAGUGNUACUGCUGUGCUAGAGUGCGGAAGAGGCAACCGGAAUUCUUGGUGUAGCGGUGAAAUGCGUAGAUAUCAAGAGGAACACCUGAGGCGAAGGCGGGUUGCUGGGCCGACACUGACGCUGAUGCGCGAAAGCCAGGGGAGCAAA
rnacentral:rRNA from 1 species